UGCUGCAGCGGCCUUCUGCCACUUCUCCACGUUUGACGUUGUUCAUAAAGUCUCGGGCCUGACGUGGGAGAGCGUGGCUCCUUGCGUCCGGUGGAUGAGUCCCUUCAUGGACACGCUGCGAACAGAAGCCACACCUCAACUCAAGAGCUUCGCCAAAGUCAAAGCUGACGACAGACACAACAUCCAGACACACGUGGCUUACCUGGACCUGCUGGUGAGCAACACACACCUUCCUCUACCUACCUGUUACGACCAAGUCUUAAUGUCUGGGCUCGGUACGAGUACUAAGGAUCUUUAUAGGAACUAAAUAAAAUGCAGGCUAAACUAA